CUAGAGACUCACCUAACCCAUCCCUGUCACUGAGUUCAAACUUCUCACCAUUCCUGCCUUCAUUGGAACAGAACAGCCUCAGGGCCUCUGCUGUCCUAUCCUAGAGCAGCUGUCCCACCCCAGAUCGUCUUAUACUCCUAAAUGGAAUCUUUCUCUUACUGAUUGCUGUCCACCAUCCUUCAAAUUCUGGAGCUCUGUGAAGGCAAAACAUAGAAUAUGGUGGGACUUUCAGCAACCAGAGGAAGGAGAAAGGGGAAAGAGGGAGAUUCAGAUCAUCAAGGAGGAUGGAGGAUUUGGAGUCAUGAGAAAGGGGUUCAGAGAGAGAUCAUGGAAACACACCUGAAGCUCAGCGCCCAAUCAAUAAUAAAAUGUGUUGAUGUGCUGUCGCGACUGCUCUGGAGCACCCUUGAAGUCCAGCUCUUCCAUUUCUGCUUCGUAGAACUUGCGGCAGGCAUCUUUAAAAGACUGAGACAGAGCAACAUAACUACACAGCUAUGAAUGUGAUUAGCACCAAGAGCCUCCUUCCUAAUGUGAAAAGCAAGAGUUCAAUUAUGUGCAAAUGUACCUCCUGUUAAAAAGGGGGAGGUGGGAAAUCUAUUAAAAAAAAAACACCUCUAUAUACUCAA
rnacentral:lncRNA from 1 species